rnacentral:misc_RNA from 1 species
UCAGAGCAAGUCACCCACCAAGUCGAAGCAGCAGAGCGGACGGACCCAACCACUCCUCCCAAA